rnacentral:tRNA from 1 species
GGGCGAUUAGUUAAGUGGUAUAACAUCGGUUUCCAAAACCGAGAUCGGGGGUUCGAUUCCCUCAUCGCCUGCCA